rnacentral:rRNA from 1 species
UACGUAGGGUGCAAGCGUUAAUCGGAAUUACUGGGCGUAAAGCGUGCGCAGGCGGUUAUGCAAGACAGAUGUGAAAUCCCCGGGCUCAACCUGGGAACUGCAUUUGUGACUGUAUAGCUAGAGUACGGUAGAGGGGGAUGGGAUUCCGCGUGUAGCAGUGAAAUGCGUAGAUAUGCGGAGGAACACCGAUGGCGAAGGCAAUCCCCUGGACCUGUACUGACGCUCAUGCACGAAAGCGUGGGGAGCAAACAGG